GAGGGAGAAACAAAACAUGGGUCUUCUAGAGAAAAGAAACCACAAAAGCCACAGCAGGAUUGCUGGUGGGGUCAGCUGUUCAGAGAAAAAUGGCUCCAUUGUGGAGCUGACAGACAGUUGACAGACCCUAGAGCCAAGAAGCCAGACGCCCUGUGGAUAAUAAAUCUACUUUCAGAACCUACAAACUUAGUAGAAGUGGUGACCUAGGAAGGGAGUGCCAAGAUCAUUGAAACUUGGCACAGAAGAUGCAUGGACUGUUUGGAUGCGGUGCUGUGGAUCAGGCUUCUUCAUCGCCCAUGGCUGCAUGCU
rnacentral:lncRNA from 1 species